rnacentral:sRNA from 1 species
UUAUGGACUGCACUCGUAUGACCCACAAA